rfam:Ictidomys tridecemlineatus contig023143, whole genome shotgun sequence.
GGGGUUGUGGCUCAGUGGUAGAGCGCUGGCCUUGCAAAUGCAGGACCCUGGGUUCAAUCCUCAGCACCA